ACGAACGCUGGCGGCGUGCUUAACACAUGCAAGUCGAACGAAGAGCGAUGGAAGCUUGCUUCUAUCAAUCUUAGUGGCGAACGGGUGAGUAACGCGUAAUCAACCUGCCCUUCAGAGGGGGACAACAGUUGGAAACGACUGCUAAUACCGCAUACGAUCUAAUCUCGGCAUCGAGGAUAGAUGAAAGGUAGCCUCUACAUGUAAGCUAUCACUGAAGGAGGGGAUUGCGUCUGAUUAGCUAGUUGGAGGGGUAACGGCCCACCAAGGCGAUGAUCAGUAGCCGGUCUGAGAGGAUGAACGGCCACAUUGGGACUGAGACACGGCCCAGACUCCUACGGGAGGCAGCAGUGGGGAAUCUUCCGCAAUGGACGAAAGUCUGACGGAGCAACGCCGCGUGAGCGAUGACGGCCUUCGGGUUGUAAAGCUCUGUUAAUCGGGACGAAAGGCCUUCUUGCGAAUAGGGAGAAGGAUUGACGGUACCGGAAUAGAAAGCCACGGCUAACUACGUG
rnacentral:rRNA from 1 species